CCUACGGGAGGCUGCAGUGGGGAAUAUUGCACAAUGGGCGCAAGCCUGAUGCAGCCAUGCCGCGUGUGUGAAGAAGGCCUUCGGGUUGUAAAGCACUUUCAGCGGGGAGGAAGGCGUUAAGGUUAAUAACCUUGGCGAUUGACGUUACCCGUAGAAGAAGCACCGGCUAACUCCGUGCCAGCAGCCGCGGUAAUACGGAGGGUGCAAGCGUUAAUCGGAAUUACUGGGCGUAAAGCGCACGCAGGCGGUCUGUCAAGUCGGAUGUGAAAUCCCCGGGCUCAACCUGGGAACUGCAUUCGAAACUGGCAGGCUAGAGUCUUGUAGAGGGGGGUAGAAUUCCAGGUGUAGCGGUGAAAUGCGUAGAGAUCUGGAGGAAUACCGGUGGCGAAGGCGGCCCCCUGGACAAAGACUGACGCUCAGGUGCGAAAGCGUGGGGAGCGAACAGGAUUAGAUACCCUUGUAGUC
rnacentral:rRNA from 1 species